rnacentral:tRNA from 1 species
GGCGAAGUGACUGAAGUUUAGGUGGUAGACUGUAAAUCUACUUAUGGGUAACCCUUUGCCG